rnacentral:misc_RNA from 1 species
GUACCCUCAAGCUUUGCUUGGUGUUGGGCGUUUUUUGUCUUUGGCCUGCCCAAAGACUCGCCUCAAAACGAUUGGCAGCCGGCCUCCUGGUUUCGCAGCGCAGCACAUUUUUGCGCUUGCAAUCAGCAAUAGAGGACGGCACUCCAUCAAGACUCGUUUUUAUCAC